rnacentral:rRNA from 1 species
AUUGAACGCUGGCGGCAUGCUUUACACAUGCAAGUCGAACGGUAACAGGCCUUCGGGCGCUGACGAGUGGCGAACGGGUGAGUAAUGCAUCGGAACGUGCCCAGUCGUGGGGGAUAACGCAGCGAAAGCUGUGCUAAUACCGCAUACGAUCUAUGGAUGAAAGCGGGGGACCGUAAGGCCUCGCGCGAUUGGAGCGGGCGAUGUCAGAUUAGGGAGUUGGUGGGGUAAAGGCUCACCAAGCCAACGAUCUGUAGCUGGUCUGAGAGGACGACCAGCCACACUGGAACUGAGACACGGUCCAGACUCCUACGGGAGGCAGCAGUGGGGAAUUUUGGACAAUGGGCGCAAGCCUGAUCCAGCAAUGCCGCGUGCAGGAAGAAGGCCUUCGGGUUGUAAACUGCUUUUGUACGGAACGAAACGGCGAGCUCUAAUACAGUUUGCUAAUGACGGUACCGUAAGAAUAAGCACCGGCUAACUACGUGCCAGCCGCCGCCGUAACAC